rnacentral:rRNA from 1 species
UACGUAGGGGGCAAGCGUUGUCCGGAUUUAUUGGGCGUAAAGAGCGUGUAGGCGGCCAGAUAGGUCCGUUGUGAAAACUGGAGGCUUAACCUCCAGCUGUCGAUGGAAACCAUCUGGCUAGAGUCCGGAAGAGGAGAGUGGAAUUCCUGGUGUAGCGGUGAAAUGCGUAGAUAUCUGGAGGAACACCGGUGGCGAAGGCGGCAUCCUGGACCGGUAUUGACGCUGAGGCGCGAAAGCCAGGGGAGCAAACGGG